GAGAGGCUUCGGCAAUGGGGGAAACCCUGACCGAGCGACGCCGCGUGAAGGAUGAAGGCCCUUGGGUUGUAAACUUCUUUUGUUGGGGCAGAAAUGCGAUCAGGUGAAUAAUCUGGUCGUUUGACGGUACCCGACGAAUAAGCCCCGGCUAACUCCGUGCCAGCAGCCGCGGUAACACGGGGGGAGCAAGCGUUGUUCGGAAUCACUGGGCGUAAAGGGCGCGUAGGCGGCGCGGUAAGUAGGGGGUGAAAUCCUGCGGCUCAACCGCAGAAUGGCCUCCUAAACUGCCGUGCUCGAGCACAGUAGAGGCAGGUGGAAUUCCCGGUGUAGCGGUGGAAUGCGUAGAGAUCGGGAAGAACACCAGUGGCGAAGGCGGCCUGCUGGGCUGUUGCUGACGCUGAGGCGCGACAGCGUGGGGAGCAAA
rnacentral:rRNA from 1 species